rnacentral:rRNA from 1 species
GCUGGCUGGUGGGGUAACGGCCCACCAGGGCGACGAUGGCUAGGGGGUCUGAGAGGACGAUCCCCCACACUGGUACUGAGACACGGACCAGACUCCUACGGGAGGCAGCAGUGAGGAAUAUUGGUCAAUGGGCGGAAGCCUGAACCAGCCAUGCCGCGUGCAGGAUGACGGCCCUACGGGUUGUAAACUGCUUUUCCCCGGGGCGAAUAACCCCCUCGCGAGGGGGGAUGCCGGUACCGGGGGAAUAAGGAUCGGCUAACUCCGUGCCAGCAGCCGCGGUAAUACGGAGGAUCCGAGCGUUAUCCGGAUUUACUGGGUUUAAAGGGUGCGUAGGCGGGUGGCUCAGUCGGCGGUGAAAUGCAGCGGCUCAACCGUUGCCCUGCCGUCGAAACUGGCCGCCUUGAAUUCGGUCGAGGCCGGCGGAAUGCGCGGUGUAGCGGUGAAAUGCUUAGAUAUCGCGCGGAACGCCGAUUGCGGAGGCAGCUGGCUGGACCGAGAUUGACGCUGAUGCACGACAGCGUGGGGAUCGAACAGGAUUAGAUACCCUGGUAGUCCACGCCGUAAACGAUGAUGGCUGGGUGUUGGCGAUACACUGUCAGCGCCUGA